UGGACAGGUGGUGCAUGGUUGUCGUCAGCUCGUGUCGUGAGAUGUUGGGUUAAGUCCCGCAACGAGCGCAACCCUCGACCUUAGUUGCCAGCAUUCAGUUGGGCACUCUAAGGUGACUGCCGGCUAAAAAGUCGGAGGAAGGUGGGGAUGACGUCAAAUCAUCAUGCCCCUUAUGACCUGGGCUACACACGUGCUACAAUGGGCGGUACAAAGGGUCACGAACCCGCGAGGGGGAGCCAAUCCCAAAAAAGCCGCUCUCAGUUCGGAUUGCAGGCUGCAACUCGCCUGCAUGAAGCCGGAAUCGCUAGUAAUCGCGGAUCAGCAUGCCGCGGUGAAUACGUUCCCGGGCCUU
rnacentral:rRNA from 1 species